rnacentral:rRNA from 1 species
GACGAACGCUGGCGGCGUGCUUAACACAUGCAAGUCGAACGGUGAAGCGCCUUCCUCUUUGGUGGGUGUGGAUGAGUGGCGAACGGGUGAGUAACACGUGAGUAACCUGCCCCCUUCUUCUGGAUAACCGCAUGAAAGUGUGGCUAAUACGGGAUAUUCUGGUUUUGUUGCUUGAUGGGUCUGGGAAAGAUCUUGUUUCGGUGGGGGAUGGGCUCGCGGCCUACCAGCUUGUUGGUGGGGUGAUGGCCUACCAAGGCGGUGACGGGUAGCCGGCCUGAGAGGGUGGACGGUCACACUGGGACGGAGACACGGCCCAGACUCCUGCGGGAGGCAGCAGUGGGGAAUAUGGCACAAUGGGCGCAAGCCUGAUGCAGCGACGCCGCGUGAGGGAUGGAGGCCUUCGGGUUGUGAACCUCUUUCGCCAGUGAAGCAGGCCUGCCUCGUUUGUGGGUGGGUUGACGGUAGCUGGAUAAGAAGCGCCGGCUAACUACGUG